AUCAGUGCUGGGACAGCUUUGCUCGUGCGCUACCACGCCCACCACCGCGGCUGAUACCCGACAGAACUGAUACCCAUCGGUGAACGAGAAACCGUGCUAAGGUAACACGCGGCUCGAAAUUCACAUCCGCUGCCUGGAUUAUCGCGCACGCAAGUCGCGACGCUAUAGUCCGCUGCAGAACUGCUCCGGGAAGCUGUCGUCCCUUGCGCGCCGAACUGCGAAAGCCACAGUCUCGGUAGAACGGUAUCUUAGCGCGGGCUUCUGAGCUCGGCUGCAGCGCAUCCGUCGCGUGACCCGGAACGAUGUGACAGACCUGCGCGCCGAACGCUAAUCAGCGGCAGCGAUAAAACGCGAAGGAAAAGUGACUCUGUGCGCUUCUUCAGCGACCACAGCACGGGGCCGAGUUCGAGUCGGUGCUGUGACGGCGAGUCGACGAAGGCGCUUACCUGCGGGGAGCAACUCGGAGCCACGCAGCCCUAGACGCGCGGCGAGGACCUUCCGGAGCGCGCGACUGAGCCACAGGCUUCCCACUCGAAGAGCACGGAAUCACGAGGCUUGGAGAAAAGGCGACAUCCGUGACGGUUCUCCUUUCGCCAUCCUACAUUGAGAAGAUAUCAAGCGCGCAGAAGACCACCAUACGCAGUAACAAAAAAAAGAAAGAAAUAAGACGCAUAUGUAAUGGCAGAAAGUACAAAUUUCUUGACCGCCAAAUGUUGAAUAAAGGAACAAUAAAGCUACUCGCGCAUUAUACAUGAUAUUCCUUCUGUAGCGGAGAAAAUGCCUAUCUAUACAGCACGACGCAAAACGCCGUGUGACCUGACAAAGAAAGGAUAGAGAAAAAGAAAAUCGCGUUCCCUCUAGUUUU